rnacentral:rRNA from 1 species
AACGAACGCUGGCGGCAUGCCUAACACAUGCAAGUCGAACGAUAACGUCGGGUCUAGUGGCGCACGGGAGCGUAAGGCGUGGGAACCGUCACUUAGGGUGGGAAUACCUCUCCGCAAGGGGCGCUAAUACCGGAUAAAUUCUUCUGCCUCAAGAUAUCUCUCCUUAGGAUGGGUCCGCGUUGGAUUAGCUAGUUCGUAAGGUAAAGGUCUACCAAGGCUAUGAUCCAUAGUUGGUCUGGGAGGAGGAUCCACAACACUGGGACUGGGACACGGCCCGGACUCCUACGGGAGGACGCAAGUGGGAAUAUUGGACAAUGGGCGAAAGCAUGAUCCAGCAAUGCCGCGUGAGUGAUGAAGUACUGAGGGUUGUAAAGCUCUUUUACCCGGGAUGAAAAUGACGGUACCGGGAGAAUAAGCGCCGGCUAACUACGUG